UACGGAGGGUGCGAGCGUUAUCCGGAAUUACUGUGUUUAAAGGGUGCGUAGGCGGCCAAGUAAGUCAGGAGUGAAAGUUUGCGGCUCAACCGUAAAAUUGCUUUUGAUACUGCUAGGCUAGAAUUAGGAUGAGGUCAGCGGAAUGUGGCAUGUAGCGGUGAAAUGCAUAGAUAUGCCAUAGAACACCAAUUGCGAAGGCAGCUGGCUAGACCUGGAUUGACGCUGAGGCACGAAAGCGUGGGGAUCGAACAGG
rnacentral:rRNA from 1 species